UCGAAGCAGUGAUGAUCGAAAUACCAGUAUAAGCCAGUUCUGCUACUGAGAAUUUGUGAAUGAGAAACUGGUGAAGAACUGAGCUUGGG
rfam:Physcomitrella patens subsp. patens PHYPAscaffold_753 genomic scaffold, whole genome shotgun sequence.